rnacentral:rRNA from 1 species
AGCAAACAGGAUUAGAUACCCUGGUAGUCCACGCUGUAAACGAUGUCGAUUUAGAGGUUGUGGUCUUGAACCGUGGCUUCUGGAGCUAACGCGUUAAAUCGACCGCCUGGGGAGUACGGCCGCAAGGUUAAAACUCAAAUGAAUUGACGGGGGCCCGCACAAGCGGUGGAGCAUGUGGUUUAAUUCGAUGCAACGCGAAGAACCUUACCUACUCUUGACAUCCAGCGAAUCCUUUAGAGAUAGAGGAGUGCCUUCGGGAACGCUGAGACAGGUGCUGCAUGGCUGUCGUCAGCUCGUGUUGUGAAAUGUUGGGUUAAGUCCCGCAACGAGCGCAACCCUUAUCCUUUGUUGCCAGCACGUAAUGGUGGGAACUCAAAGGAGACUGCCGGUGAUAAACCGGAGGAAGGUGGGGAUGACGUCAAGUCAUCAUGGCCCUUACGAGUAGGGCUACACACGUGCUACAAUGGCAGAUACAAAGAGAAGCGACCUCGCGAGAGCAAGCGGAACCCAUAAAGUCUGUCGUAGUCCGGAUUGGAGUCUGCAACUCGACUCCAUGAAGUCGGAAUCGCUAGUAAUCGUAGAUCAGAAUGCUACGGUGAAUACGCUCCCGGGC